rnacentral:lncRNA from 1 species
CUGGAAGUUCGUGACCCCGCCGUAAGCCCACAAAAUCCCGCUCAUGUGUUGCUCGUUAUUUGUGCUUGACUGGGAUCCGCUGAGCUGUAAUCAAAGCGUUUCCUCUUCCCAGAGCCCCCGUGCUCGGAGAGGUUCGUUCACGCUGCUUGCAAGCAGCAAGGUGCUUUUGCUGCCACUGGUCGCUGACAGCUUCGUUUUGUGGGUCUGGGGAAGGCGCGGGACGGCUGCGGGUACUCGAGGAAGCCCCCGGUCACCUCUGGACACCGCCAUGGUCACCGCGAGAGGAUGGCUGCCGCUGCUGCUGCUCCUCCUGGGAGCCACGGCCGGUUUAGGUCAAAGGCUUCUGAGGCAAAACCUCGGCAGGAUCCAGAUAGGACAGAAAACCUUCAGCCCGCUGGUGAUGCUCAGCUUAGAGAGUACGAGGAGCAGCUCUCACCGGGGAGCCCCGACCUUCGCCUACGCCAGACGCAGUACGUCCCUGCCUGCCCCGUCCCUCCCCGCACGCACCCUUGGCUUCUCCCCAUCCUCCACUUCCUGCUUUUUCUGCUGUCAAGGUGCUACCCUGAGCUUUAAAAUGCUAUUUUGCCCCACGGGACUCCCCUCCUCCUUUCCUACCAUCACCAGCCCCACAGAUUGAAGCAGCUGAUCCCAAAUGAGCUAAGCAGGGCUGUGAAGGAUCUUACAGAAACCCCACUUCAAUCUGCUGCACACGAAACCUUGGGGCAAACACGUUUUUCAGUGUGCCUCCUGGAACAAGGCUGUCUCCGAGCUCACCUCCCCCUGCAUCCCCUCUAAAUCACCCCAAAAUUGUUAACUAAUGCCUGUCAGUGUGCCACUCGGGAUGCUGAACGGGGAUGUCAGCGUGCCAACAGAUUAAAAACUCGCCCCGCUAAGCCAAGCUCUCACUCCACAACAGACCUUACUCUUCCGUGGCUGCUGCCAUUGAAAUGCUUUUUUCCAGCCACCAGAACCCAUUUAAACACCUGCUUUUGGAAGCCAGUUUCAUUUUUGAACAGUUCAGCCUCUGUCUUUCUAGCAAGUAACCUAACCUGGUUUCCAACAAAGCUGGCGGAAGAGUAGGUGUGGGAGAUGACGUGGUACCCGCACGCGUUUCCAAGAGACCUCAUUUUUAGAAACUUUAGUCAGAAGUGUAUCCUCGUAAACAUUAUUAGAACAUUGACAUUUAAAAAUAAACCCAAACCACACGCUUGGAGUGGAUCUCA